AUACGGAGGGUCCGAGCGUUAUCCGGAUUUAUUGGGUUUAAAGGGUGCGCAGGCGGCCAUUUAAGUCAGCGGUUAAAUCGCGGGGCUCAACCCCAUUCUGCCGUUGAUACUGGGUGGCUUGAUUGCGGGCGAGGUUGGCGGAAUUCGUUGGGGAUCGGGGAAAUGCAUCGAUAUGACGAAGAAAAUCGAUUGCGUAGGCAGCUGACCAGACCGCAAAUGACGCUCAUGCACGAAAGUGCGGGGAUCGAACAGGAUUAGAUUCCUUGGUAGUCCGCACAGUAAACGAUGAAUACUUGUUUUCGGCGAUAUAAUGUCGGAGGCAAAGCGAAAGCGAUAAGUAUUCCACCUGGGGAGUACGCCGGCAACGGUGAAACUCAAAGGAAUUGACGGGG
rnacentral:rRNA from 1 species